AAGGCGAAAGCUGAGUUGGAGAUUACAGAUCAAAGCCAUCACUGGAAGUGUAAAAAUCUGUAUAACUUUCCAGAAGUUUAUCAUUUCAAUAUAUAUAUGAGCAUGUCUAGAUAUGCAACAAUAUGCAUGAGAAGACAUACAUAAACAAAAUAUACACACCUGUACGUAAACAG